AGGGAGCCCACGAACACCACUGGUUGCAGGCUGCACAGGAGAUUGGUCUGGCGUCCCAGGAAACUUUCUCAAUUAUCAGCACCUCGCGUAAUGGUUUCUUCCGGGAGCCUUGGAAGUUCCAUUCGUAUCGGAACCCAGAAGCCCUGUGACUACUCACACUGGACAUCUAACUCAGCUUCCCCGCCAACUUGUCCAGUACCAAGGCUGUUUUCGGCCAAGCAGGAAUAAUACCCAGCGUGCCCGAGGAGGACCGCUGGGAUCUGGAAGGUCUUGCUUGUCCUUCCGGGUACUUGUUUCUUAUCGUGAUACCAGGUGUAAUUUGUUGGAGGAGGAUUGGCCGGUGACACGCAAGUCAUCUGUACUUUAUUUCCCUCCUUAGCUGGUGAGGGGAGGAUCUCAACCCUGGAAGAUUCCGGAGCAUCUGGAAAAAGCCCGCAGAGGCAGAGGGAGCUCCCAGGAGGCUCACAAUAUACUUGAAGGUCCACUUCUUCCGACUGUCCUGAGCCUAUUAUAUUGGAGGCCUCACACUGGUACUUCCCACUCAUCUCCUUGGUCACAGUGGACAGAGUCAGCGUGCCUGGCACCCUUGGUGCCCUCGAGGGCUGGAAGAGAAGAGACAAGGCCCUCGUCCUUCCCCGGGGGGCCCUGGGGGACACUCACGCUUCACAUCCAGCCCCACGCUUUCCUCGGAGAGUAUCCGCUCUGCUCGGGGGUCCCAGAGCUGGCAGGAAAGAUUCUUGCCGUGGUGAGUCCACUGCGGCUGGAAGGUGAGCUUGCUCUGUGUGGACACGGUCUUGGUGGUCAGGAGGGUGGAGGUGACAGCAGGCUCCUCCAGGGACCACUUCAGCUGGAUCUGGUACCCAGGACAGGAGAAAUUCAGCGAGCAGGUCAGAGUGACUUCCUGGGACUCCUGGAUUUCUGGAGGGAGCUGGAUGUGAGGUGAGAGAGGCGUCUCUGCAAAAGAGGAGGGGGCCGUGCUGGGGGCCUGGGAGAGCGAGGGCCCGUGUGCCAACCUCGCACACCUGCCUUUACCCACCCCCAGCCCCAGGUAACCCCUCAGGAGCCCCUCGCCGGUCCCUUCCGCCUCUGCACCUCUCUCCCGGCCGCCUUUCUCUGCUUUGAAUCACUUUUGCUCGGCGGAAGCACUCUCUCUUGUGAAUGCCGCCGCUCCUGAGGAAUCCCGUAUUCUAUUUCAUACGUACCUCGUGCCCCCGCCCUGAUGUUUGCUCUCUAAACAUUUUUGACACGGCUCCCCCAUCCCAAAUGAAUUUUACCGGUUUAGGUCCCCACGCCUUUCUUGGCUUUGCUGACAAGCCUGCGUUUGUAAUGACCUCCACACUGGAGACCUCCAGUGUGGCGCUCCUUCAGUGGGUGCCGUUAGUGGGCCUGUGUGUCUCCGGCUCUCCCCGGGGCUGGGCCGCCCUGAGACGACAGGUCUGAAACCACAGCUCUCACCCCCGUGUAGCUGCUUAGACGCCCCCCCCCCCACCUCCCCCACCACCACGGAAGACACAGGCUGUGGGGUGGAGGCCCCGGGCCCGUGCUUGAUUCAUCCCCUACAUGUGUCUCAUUUGGCCAUGAAGGCCUAAUUAGAAUUAAUCACCAACAUUAAGGCAUUGGGAGAUUUUGCUUGAAAGUCCACAUUUCCAUCUUCUCGUCAAAAAUCAGGCCACCUGGAACCCGGAUUCCGGAAUGGGUGGGCGUUGAGUGGCAGGUGGGAGGCCCGAGGGGAGACCAGAGGUCUGGCCUCAGCCCCAGCCCCAUUAUCUUGUGCUGCCCGCUCACUCACUGGCACCUCCGGCCUGGCUUGCCACCCCUGUCCCAGGGGCUGGGUGUUUUCCACCUCCCUUCUUGCCCAAAACCGAGGCAGAGAACCCCAUCCCCCAGGGCCUUACCAGAGACGUUGAGGUCUAUUUUCUCCAUCCAUUUGUCAUUCUUCGUUGUCACUCUCAGCCCAAGCCAGCCACUGUCAUUGACGGACACAGGGUGGAUGUGUAUGGUGCAGUUGGACUUUUUGUCUCCCAGGAAUUGAACCCUCUCCCGGUGAGGCAGAGUCUUCCCAGCCUUCGCGGUAUCGUACAGGAUGGUCCCACUGAAGUCCUUGCGGGUCUCGUCAUAGUGAUAGUUGUGGUACAGGGUCAGGUUUUCCAGCAUUUGUCUACUCCCUGGAACUUUGUAGUCACAGGGAAUCCAGACGCAGGCCCCAUCCCAGGUGUAGAGGGUGUGGGGGUGCUCAAACUUCCAUUGAGAUGAGUCAGAGAAGGCCAAGUAUUCUGGAACCCACCACAGUGAUCAAAAAACAUUAUUGAGGGGCAUAAAGAGCUUUCAAAUGAAUAAAGAAUCCCCUCUAAAGACAGAGGGAGAGAGGAAGGUACACACACACAUACCCUGCCUGUCCCCUCCUCCCCAAUACUUACUCUUUGCUCCAGAGCUUUCCUCCUCCUCUAGCUCCCACAGACUCCCAGAACCCAAGCCUAGGCCACAGUCCUUACCAAGGAGCAGGAACGAGGGGCCGAGGAGAUGCAUGGUGCUGUGUCUGGGCAGGAGCCUGGGCCGGGAAGAGUUGUCUUUGAGCCAUCUGGUCACUUGCUUCUUUCAGAUGGCUUUUCUUGCUCACCCACCAAACUCCAACCCCUCUUCCCUGAUCCCAGGAGAACCAUGCCUGCUUGCCUUGCAGGAUGUGAAUUCUGGAUGUUCAUGGGGCCUUUUGUGGGUAUGUCGUGUCUAUUCUCUCAGCCUAAGAACUCUGUAAGACUAGCCUGUCUCUCUUUCUAGCCCUCCUUCCUUUCUUCCAUCCAUCCUUCCAUCCAUCCUUCUAUCCAUCCAUCCAUCCAUCCAUCCGUUCAUCCUUCUAUCCAUCCAUCCAUCCAUCCAUCCAUCCAUCCAUCCAUCCAUAAUUUUACAAACUUCCUGCCCAGCUCUCAGGCUUUGAGUGGCAUCAGACUCCUGAGUGCCUUGAAUUCCAGGCCUGGGGUAACUUGAAGCUCACCUUGAGGCAACUAGUGAAGGUUCUUAUAUGGGGGAGAGCCAUGAUCAAAACUUGAUUUUUAAAGACCAGGAGCAAAAUAACUCUAAAACUAACAAGUGUGAUGCCAGGAGAGCAUUUAGAGGGGUCUGGAAGGACUUCGGAGAAUGUGGUCCAAGGGUCCCACUCAGAUACCCCUGGGGGCUGGGUGGAAAACAUAAAUCAACCAGGUGGGAACAAAGGUCAUGGCUUGGGUAAAGACAAUGACUGUCCCGGUCCCAACCAAUUGUUGCCAAGUGGGAAUGUGAGCUCAGCACUGCCUGAUCUUCCAGUGCUUUAAGAGAAAUAAGCUGGAUUUUCCUGUGAAAUGUCCUGCUUUCAUCAACAAACAAACAAACAAACAAACAAGCAAACACGGUGCUGGCCAGUCCGCGGGCUGAAGGCAGUCCAAGGGCCCCCAGUUUGCAGCCCUGCGCAUCUGUCCCUCUCUGAUCAGUGAGUUUGUGUGCCACCUUAUUAGACUUUUACAUAGAGUUACAUUUACAUAGAGUUAAAUUUAAGCCCCAAUUUGCAUGACUGGGCCCCUCCGUGCCGGUCCCUCUGGAGUUAGCAGGAUGUGUGACAGAGUGUGUCUCCGGUGUCAGGGCAGACCUGCACCCCUCCCACCUGCCCUGCCAACAUUUCCCACGCAUCAAACACCCCUCACCCCCUGGGGCUGUUUAUCUCCUCAGGCUGCAUGGCUCCUGCCAAAUGCUGUUGGGUGGCUGGUACCCGGAGGUGUGGGGGAAGCUAGGCUGCUUGCUGAGCAGGAAGGAGGGGUCUGUCCCCAGGCGUAGUGUCUGUGCUGGCCUGGCCGGGUCUCAGGCUCGGGUUAAGGGUGAGGGGUCUGAACUGGGACAGACUCUCCAGGUAGAAGUGACACCGGCUCUGCAGGUGCUAACAGAGCUACACGCAAAAACACCUUCAAGGCCACGUCCACUUGAGAAAAGCUGGGUGAAGAAGGUAAACAGAAUUCUUUACCGUGGCUCUUUCUGGUCCCUUAUAAUCAGCUGUGUGUGCAUCACACAUCUGCCGACACGGGGGCCAGAGCACAGUACAGUGCAGUACGUUGCCCACGCUUCUUUAGCCAUGGAACUGAUUUUACGUUUCCCGCGAGAAACUCGGCAGGGCUGCAGGGUCAGCGUUUUGAGGGAUGCGCUCCGGGUCCCCUUUGGGUUUCCACAAGAGCUGUGGCAAGGGCUAGAUUCCAUUCUCUGGGGCAAAGACCAGCCUCCAGUAGCCGGACCGUUGUGCCCCUUCUGCCGCCAGCCGCCAGCCGCACCUUCAUGGGGGAAUGCCUUGAGAACACCAGGAUGAGGGGGAGAGGGCACUUCUCAGAGCAGAGCUACGUGCUCGCCCCCGGCAGCUCCAGGCAGUCGCUGGGACAUAAGAAGUGGGACCUUAGACCUGGAAGCGGAAGGCUGCUGAGACAGGGUGGGGCGUGGAGGCUGGGGACAAUAGGCAUUAGGCACAAAGGCUCAGGACAAGGCCAUGCUACCCAGACCCAUGGUGGCCUGCUCGACAUAGGCCUGCUGAGGACCUUGCAGGAUCUCAGAGCCCGCCUCCCUGAGUCCAUUCUUCCCUCCUGGGCAUCUGGUGACCCAUCCUAUUCUCAGAAGACUCCACAAGCCCAUCAGAGGGCAUGCUCAAAGAUGGGGGUCUACAUCCUGUUGAUACAUGGGUAAGGGGGGGGUCCCGCUGUGCUCCCAGCCCCAAGAACUGUGCUUGGCACACAGCAGCUGCUCCGUGCCGGCAUGCUGAAUGCAAAAGAGAGCAAAAUAAUUUUUACCUGUUUCCUCGUGUCUUCCCUCUUCAGGGACCUUGGCAGCAUCUGAGAGUGAAAGGGGAAGCACAGCGAAGGAUUUUCACCCUCCUUGGCCCCACCCCCUGCCCCUGUGUGACUCUCGGGGCAACCAAGAGGCAUGGUGAAGUGGGGAGGGGGGAAAAGAGGCCAUGAGGGCAACUUGGGCUCGGAAUCAGCUUGAAAGGAACACUCGAGUACCUACGGUCAGUUUUUAGGUUCGGUGUAUGGAGUUUCUACAUCAGAUAGUUUCAGAGCUAGUCCCUCCACAACUUCCUCUCUAUCCAGCUCUCAGGAAAUGCUGAUAAUUUAGGCCAAGCAGAUUAGAACCGCCAGCCUGCUGAAAAAGGCACAAGGCAAUAUGAAAGCGUUGGUAGUUUAGUGACACCAUCCAGUUAUUCUCAUUCCUAUUACUUUCUCUCCAAAGGCCAGAAUGGUCGGGAAAUCUGAUCACUUACACUGAGGCUCCAGCAGCUCCCGAGGGUUGAGGGAAGAGCUCACAGUAUCAAAAGGAAAAAAGAUAACUUUCAUGGAGUGUUCUUGAAUGGGCAAGUCUUGAGACUAGAAACUUACCACUUUCAUCAGGCUUCUGUGAGUGUCUGGAGACCAGACCCAGACAUCAGGCAAAGCCAUUCAAAUCCUGCAGAUGGUCAGGGAAGUCUCUGAGAAAUCUUCACCCUGGUAUCAUCAAACUCUACUGACUACCAGCCACUGAGAAAGGAACAGAAAAGGGGAGGGGCUUCUGGGUGGCUCAGUCGGUUAAGCAUCUGACUUUGGCUCAGGUCAUGAUCUCAUGGUUCAUGAAUUUGAGCCCCGCAUUGGGCUCUGUGCUGACAGCUCAGAGCCUGGAGCCUGCUUUGGAUUCUGUCUCCCUCUCUCUCCCCAAAAUAAAUAAACAUUUAAAAAACAAACAAAAAAAGAAACAGAAAAGGAACAACUUAUUCAAAAGACAGUAAUGUUAUGGGAAGGUAUAUUCUUCCCUAUUUCUUCUGCUAAGAACAAUUAAAAACUCUGGAUCUUAUAAAAUAAGCAUAAGAAGACACUGAAAGAUUGAGAGAAGGCACACUGGUUAGGGACCUUGGGACCUGAGGAAUGAUAUGACCAUGAAUUCUCUGGGUUUUCUCUUCGCUUCAUCUAUCCCAGACUGAAUACUGAAGAAGCAAGCAACUGGAAAUGACAAUGAGCACAGACAAAAAAAAAAAAAAAAAAAAGUUCCAGCAAAACUCUGCUCUUCUAGCUAAAGAAGCAAGAAAGGGGCAGCCCAGAAAGACAGAAAUCUUUCAUGCAGUAACUGCUCUACUCCAGCGAAAUGUCACAGAAAAACCUGCUGCUUCACUUCUACCCCUGACAGCAAAGGCUGAGUGGGACCCUAGACUUUCACCCUUGCCAGGCCACGCCCCCAUACCACAUCUGAGUGGUGCCAGAGGAGGCUGAGUGUGGGGCUGGGCCCUCCAGCCCCUCUGGGCUCUUUCUCCCCACAGUGUCAGUAGAAACCACAUGGGCAGCCUGAACAUCCAACCCCACCCUGUGAUGAGACAUCAUACUCCUCACUGGAGUGGUGUAAGAGGAGGUCUAGGGGAGAAUCAGGACUUUCACCAUCACUCAGUGAUCAUAAGCCCAACUUCUGUGGAAUCUGCAUGAAAGCCAUGUGGAGAGCAAUAAUGAUGUACCCCCUCCCUCUUCCAGUCAAGAUGGUAUUAAUGGGUGCAUAAUGGGGAACCUGAUCUUUCACCCCUGCCCAGCAAUGAGAAAACUUCACACACACACACACACACACACACACACACACACACACACACCAGCUGUCAAGAGAGGCUGAGUGGAGAACCUGAACUUCUACCCCCAUUUGGUAAUAAUGAGGCAGUGCCCCUGUUCAUUUCACUGGAACAGUGUCAGGGGAAGCUUGCUAAAACACUGAUUUAAAUAAGAUCCAGUCCCAUAAAUAAUACCCAAAAUGUCCUCGUUUCAUUUGAAAAUCACUCAGCCUACUAAGAACCAGGAAGUUCUCAAACUGAAUGCAAAAAGAUAAUCAACAGACACAAACACCAAGAUGACACAGAUGUUGGAAUUAUCUAACAAGGAUUUUAAAACAGCCAUCAUAAAAAUGCUUCAGUGAGCAAUUACAAACAUGUUUGAAACCUAUUGAAAAAAAUAGAGUGUCAGCAAAGAAAUAAUAAAGAAUCAAAAGGAAAUUUUAGAACUAAAAAAUACAAUAACUGAAAUUAAAAGCCCUAAUGAAUGAGCUCAACAUCAGAAUGGAACAUGGAACAUUAGAAAUUACCCAAUUUGAAAAACAGAUAGAACAAACUGAAGGAAAAAAAAAGAAGAACAGAGCCUCAAGGACAUGUGUGGCUAGUAUAACAAAAGAUCUAACAUUCAUGUCAUUGUAGUCUCAGGAGAGGAGAAAGAGGGUGAGCCUGAGAAAAUAUUUGAAGAAAUAAUGGCUGAAAUGUUCCUAAUUUGACAAAACAAACAAAAACCAUAUUAUCUACAGAUUCAGGAAGCUGAGUGAAUCCCAAACAAGAUUAACCCAAAGAAAUCCAUGUCAAGACACAUACUAGUCAAACUUAUGAAAAUUAGACAAAGAAAAAAUCUUGAAAGCAACCACAGAGAAAUGAUGCAUUACCUACAGGGAGAAAACCCAUUCAAAUGACAGUAGAUUUUGUAUCAAAAAGGUGAUAAGGUGAUAAGAAAGGUGUUAUGAAAGUGAAACAGCAUCUCUUAGAUACUGAAAGAAAAGAACUAUCAACCCAGAAAUGUAUAUCUAUCCUUCAGGAAUGAAGGGGAAAUCAAGACAUUCUCAGAUGAAGGAAAACUAACAAUUUUUAACCAACAGAUACCCUAGAAGAGUGGCUAUAAGGGAAUCUUCUAAACAGAAAGAAAAUUAUUUAAACAUUUUUUUAAUUUUUUUUUUUUUGAGAGAGAGAGAGAGAGAGAUAGAGAGAGAGAGAGAGAGAGACAGAGCGCGA